CUCUGAAAUAGGUUAUUUUUCAUCAAACUAUUUUACUAAAGUAAUCGAAAUGUAAUCGAAAAGUAAUCGAUGAUUACAUCCAAAUAUUUACUGUAAUCGAUUAAAUUACGAUUACAUGUAAUCGAAAAUGUCUUCGAUUACAGAUUACUGUCGAUUACUUGAAAAAAUGUAAUCAAUUACAAUCGAUUACGAUUACAGAUUACGAUUACCCCAUCCCUGG
rnacentral:lncRNA from 1 species